CGGAACUUUUGCAGCAAUUACUUAUACUAUUGCCUGCAGUUAACUUAUCUAUCUGAUAUAUCCUCUUCUUGCUAGGGCGGCCAAAGAGAACAUCAAACAGUUGUCCUUGUAGGGUAAGACACUUCUUGUGAUUAUGUGGCAAGUGGAGAUGCAAUUGGCGGUGGAGGAACAUUUUAAUGCA